UGGUGCGGCGCGGGGCGGAGUGGCCGUGGCUGGUUGUUCUACAGGGUACAAAUUUUUUGAAGGUAUUUAGAGGAAAAAGUUGUUUACCUGGCCUGAUAACUUCUUCCUGGCAUUAUGUGCGGCAGAAGCGUUUGGUGGUUCAUCUGCAUUUUUGUGGCGAUAGUCACAGAUGCCAGCCUCAGUGACCCGGUCUCCAAUACAGGAUCUGAUUCUGAAGUCGCAGACAAUCGUUUAAGAACCGACAAGG